rnacentral:lncRNA from 1 species
AUGAUGAGGGAGAGGACCAUGGGUAACAGCUCGUCACAGCUGUACAAGAAGCUGCAGGAGCAACACAGCGAGAAAUGGCUGCAACGUGUCCUGCAGUACUUGACGGCUUGUGAGCCUUUCACAAGGCUUUCUCUCGUGCACCCCCCUGCCUUCGCUAAGCCUCCUGAGCUCCCUGACCUUCCCAAGCCUAAGUGGCUGUUGGCCGUCUAUGCCAGGGAUGUUCUUGCCAGACUUCAUUUGGUGAAGGCCAAAAUCACUUCCAUCUUUGGCUCUGUGCUCAAGAUGGACUCCACCAAAAAAGUCACCAAGAAGCUGUCUGGUGCUGCUGCAGGUACAGCUGCUUGGUGCACAAAUGUGGGGAACGAGCACGGUCAGGUUCUUGUCUCCGUUAUGACAGCCGGCGAGGGACAAGCACUUGACGCCAUGGCAGAUGGCCUAAUGAAGCGGUACAGGGAGGCAGGCGAGCCACAACCAAAAAUUCUUUACGUGGACAGAGACUGCUGCAGUCAGCAUGGCCCUUGCCGGACGAAGACCAUGUUUGCUGAGUGGGACGGGCUUCAAGUGUGCCUUGACAUUUGGCAUUUCAUGCGCCGGUUUGCCGCAGGUGUCACGACAGAAGCACACCCCCUCUAUGGCAUUUUCAUGGCACGCCUGUCCACAUGCCUUUUUGAGUGGGAUCCGGAGGACGUUGCUGCUCUUCGCCGUGCCAAGGAGGGUGAGCUGACGGCACAGAGGAUUGGCCACAUCUCGGAGGAGGCGGUGACCACUUGCAUUAGGCGGAGGGAGUUGGCACGGCACUGCAGGAGGAGGACCAGAGGGGUGGAGGAGACCACCAGACUGAUUGGGUCAUUGAUCAGUCUGUUCGACAGCGACAGUGGGAAGGACACUCUAGGCGUUCCUCUGCUGGACCACCAACGUAUCCAGCAAAUAUGGCAGGAGCAGGAGAAACACGUGGCCUGCAUCCAAGACCCAGAGGACUUCCAGCUCUACACAAAGACGGGCACCCUGAACAAAGGCGGUGUGGAGCUGUGCUGCUACAGAUGUGCCCGUGGCUCUACCUCGCUUGAGUCCUUCCACCUCCACUUGAACAGGUUUAUUCCAGGUAUGGCAUACUAG